GUACUAGCAGCAGCAGUUGCAGUUGCAAUUCGGCCUCAGCGUCAGUCGGCACUCAAAAGCGUAAUUUAAAAUUCUCUUGGCUACCAUUUUUCGAGACCCUUUCUUCGCUUUGUGUCGGUGAUAUGGCUGGUUGGAGUGGAGGCUGCCAGUUUUCCACGCAUCGCGACUGCCUGACUGACUGGCUCACGGCACGGUCCCCGGCACACGGUGCGUAUGAGUUAUGCAGCGACUGCAUGGAGCAGCCAGCAGGAGCAGCAGCACCACCAGCACCACCCGGCCAAAUGAAGUUAAUAUAAAUUUUGCUUUACAACGGCGCUGGGCGAACGUGUGCGGCUCUGGCCGUUUAUACUGCAAAGUGGCAGCUAAUGCGUGAUUUUCGGAGCCAACACGAGCACGUAACUGGCGUAAGUGCUGCUCAAUGGAAUCCUAGUAGCCCCCAAUAAUAGUUGCCAGCUUGGAGAUCGAAACAUGAUCAUCAAGGCUUUAUGAAUGUAUCUUUAGAGCCUAAAGAGCAUAGAUAGUGAAAUUAUUUGAGUUAUAUUAUAUAUUCUAACUAAGCAGUCGUGGGCAUAAUUACUUUGAUAGUGCUCUUCCCAAUGUUUUUGCAAAAGUAGUAAAGACAAGUUAAGCACAAAUGAAAUGCAAUUAAUAUGCUAGAACAUUUCAGUACUUGGUGAAAUCUCUAAGAUCCCUGAUAAGCAGUCAAUCCACAUUAAUCCUACUCCUGGCAGAGCUCCAUGAUUUUAUUACUGCAGCAACUACCCAGCUGAGAUCAUAAAAGUGAAAAUUCUCAUUACCCAGCGGAGGUCCAGAGGAUGAUGAAAGCGAUUUCGGCUGGUUACUGGCUUCUGGCCGCCUGCACAUGACACAUUAUCCACAAUUAAACAUGCAAUAAAUUUACCUUAAACACGCAUAAAUUUAUAAUGUAAGGACAGGGUUUUUUUAUGCCAGCGUUCGUACUCUUUUUUGUCAAUAUUUUUUUGCCGUUUGUAGUUCAUUAAAAAA